rnacentral:rRNA from 1 species
GAUGAACGCUGGCGGCGUGCUUAACACAUGCAAGUCGAGCGAAGCACUAAAGCGGAUUUCUUCGGAUUGAAGGUUUAGUGACUGAGCGGCGGACGGGUGAGUAACGCGUGGGUAACCUGCCUCAUACAGGGGGAUAACAGUUGGAAACGGCUGCUAAUACCGCAUAAGCGCACAGUACCGCAUGGUACGGUGUGAAAAACUCCGGUGGUAUGAGAUGGACCCGCGUCUGAUUAGGUAGUUGGUGGGGUAACGGCCUACCAAGCCGACGAUCAGUAGCCGACCUGAGAGGGUGACCGGCCACAUUGGGACUGAGACACGGCCCAAACUCCUACGGGAGGCAGCAGUGGGGAAUAUUGCACAAUGGGGGAAACCCKGAKGCAGCGACGCCGCGUGAGCGAAGAAGUAUUUCGGU